GGCGGACGGGUGAGUAAUACUUAGGAAUCUGCCCAGUAGUGGGGGACAACUCGAGGAAACUCGAGCUAAUACCGCAUACGCCCUACGGGGGAAAGCGGGGGAUCUUCGGACCUCGCGCUAUUGGAUGAGCCUAAGUCGGAUUAGCUUGUUGGUGAGGUAAAGGCUCACCAAGGCGACGAUCCGUAGCUGGUCUGAGAGGACGAUCAGCCACACUGGGACUGAGACACGGCCCAG
rnacentral:rRNA from 1 species